UUUCCUGUAUUGUUUGGGGAUGGGUGGGUGUUUUUCUCUCUUGUUUGUUUGUUUGGCCUAGUCUGUGUUUUUUAGACAGGAAUAUUAGACUAAAAUUUAGGAAGUCAGAUGUGCUUAAGGAUUAGAAAUAACAGCAGUGAGAUAAAUGUGCAUUGUCAAAAGAUAAUGGUUAAAACCUUAACUGCUGGCACUAAUCAAUGUCAGGAUGAUUAGGAGCUACUGAUACACUAAUAAUGAAAAAUGUAAAUGAGAUCAUAUUAUGCACAUAUGAGGUACUGUCAGUAGAGAUGGAUGAUUAUCAAUGGCUUUAUUAAGUAGAUUCGGAAGAAUCUACAUCAAAAUGGUGAAGGAGAUUGUUGAAUUUAGAUAAAGAAAACCAGAGGGAACCUGAUUCUAUGUGAAGUGGAAAGAUGCUAUCAGAAGUUGGAAGGAAACUGUUUAAAAGGCCCCAUUUGCAACAAAGAUGAGUAUAAUUUUAAUCUGGAAAUAACAGUGAAGUUUCUAGCUUUGGAAGGAGUGAGAUUGCAGAACAGCUAUCCAGGAGGAACACACAAAACCUGUGUGAAUAUCAAUACAACAUGUAAAGAGAUUUAUUGGGAUUUGCUAACUCUAGAAAUUACUUUAAAAAUUAACUAAAACAAUUCAGGGAAGGUCCUUAGUCAAGCUCUCAAUGCUAGGACAUUUCAAAAUCAAACCUGCCUGCCUCUGCAAAAUUUAUAUUGCCCUUUCCCAUAUGUGUAAUUUCCCCAGCACUCUUGCUCAACACACAGGCACUGGGAUGUCAAGCGGUGUAUGAAGCUGGACACGUAGAAAGAAAAGCUACAUGAGGAAGAUAGUAACCAAGUAACCAGAUAUGGCUGUACAGAAUGGGAUCCUCCUCUGUUGUCUAUCAGAGGAGUUUGACAUGUUGCUGUUUCUAGGAUGGCUCACAGCACUCUCUUUAGUUCUCCCUCUGAAGAACACAAGAAAAAUCUUCUUUCUACUGACAUAAAACAAAUCUCUGUGCUGACACUAGAACACCUUUCACUAACUGAAAUCUAAACAGGCAAAUGGUGGCCUUUGUUUUAAAUUAAAGAAACAGUUAUUGACUCACAAAGCAACUGACCUUACUAAAUUAAGGAUGUUAAAAUGAUAUCUCUUUUUCUAUGUUCAUGCCAUACAAGAUUCUAACAAAUUUGAUAAGAAUUAUAAGGGGAUUUAGGGUGAUUUCAGGUGUCUAUUUUACUUCCUGAUCUUUAUAUAUGAACCAUCGCUAUCUUCUGAUUGUCUGUUUGCAUGCAAGAGAGCUCAUAAAACAUCUUCAGUGAGAAUUAAUUAAAAUUAAUGCAAUUUUAGGUCAGCUUCUUUCUUUUCUGUUUUUAAAGGUAUAUUUCAAAAGGACACCGUCAGCCUAACCUGCCAGCCACAACUGACUGUGCUAUGUCAGGAAUGUUUGCAGAAGCAAGUCUUACAUUAAUUCUUGUAUCACAAUGAUCCAGAUGGAGCAAGAUUACUGGGGUCCAGUCCUAGAAAUGUUGCCACAGGUCGUUGGUUCUCUGGGCUGUCCAUGAGGAUUCAAGAGGUACCAGAAAUUGCAGAGAGAAUGACAAGAUGAUCGGUCUCAGCAAAACUUCAGACUGGGAAAUUCUUCAGGCAUCCAUGACCUCUGCAUUGUUGACUCAGGGGCAGAACAGAUCCUCAGCUGCACCUGUGGCCACUUCACAGGCAAUGAAAAAAACAAAGUACAACUAUAUCCUUUGGCAUCUCUUUCAGAAAACCAGUCCUGGCCAUCUGGAAAAUGGGAUUCCCAUGAGGCAGUGCUAAGAUCAUGUCCUUCCAUGCACACUGGGAGACUUCCUAAUAUAAGGAACUCAACAGUUCUACUGAAACCAAAGCCUGGAGUGCUGGCUGGCUUAAGUCUUCAGGUUGUCACUAUUAACAUCUCAAUACACCACUUUCAAACCUGUCCUACAAACAAACUUGCAGUUUAGCACAAGAAAGAAACCUAUUUCAAGGGUAAAGCUAUUGAUGACAUUUACUGUCACCCCAUGUUAUCAUUUUAAAGGCAUUGGCAAUAUGGAAUAAUCUUGCAGUACACUGCCGAAAAGGUUUUAGAAGACAUCUUUUGUCUCCAAAGAGCUACUUAAAAACCACUGUAAAACACAUUUUGUAACAUGUCAAGUGUCUCCUGUAUAUCAAAUAAUGAUAAAAAUAUUUUUUAUAAUUAUUGUUAGCAGUUCUCUGCAAAUUCUGUAUUAGAGGCAACUAUCUUCUUUUGGCCCUUUGUUCAAUUCCAUCUUUGUUGAUACAGACUGCUGUCCCAUUAUCCUUCAAUGGUAAUUCACACGUAAAACAGAGAUUGGCCAUUGAGAAAGAAACAUAACUUACCAGUAAUUAGUCUUCUUUAUAAAGCAUGGUCUAUAAAUAAAUCUGUCCUACGCCUUA